rnacentral:ncRNA from 1 species
UUGUUUGUAGAAAGAAUAGAUGGUUGGCAUCUCCCCUGAGAGGAACGGGUACAGCCUUAGGGUAUCACUCAAUUUUUU